GACGAACGCUGGCGGCGUGCUUAACACAUGCAAGUCGAACGAAGUGGCGAACGGGUGAGUAACGCGUAAUCAACCUGCCCUUCAGAGGGGGACACCAGUGGGAAACGACUGCUAAUACCGCAUACGGAUGGAGGGGAUUGUGUCUGAUUAGCUAGUUGGAGGGGUAACGGCCCACCAAGGCGAUGAUCAGUAGCCGGUCUGAGAGGAUGAACGGCCACAUUGGGACUGUGACACGGCCCAGACUCCUACGGGAGGCAGCAGUGGGGAAUCUUCCGCAAUGUGCGAAAGUCUGACGGAGCAACUCCGCGUGUGUGAUGACGGCCUUCGGGUUGUAAAGUUCUUUUAGUCGGGACGCGGUACCGGAAUAGAAAGCCACGGCUAACUACUUCCCAGCGGCCGGGGUAAUU
rnacentral:rRNA from 1 species